AAUCAGGAAGCUGUCAAGGCGGGAGCGACGACUUAGCGCGGGGGGGGGGGGAUCGCUGAGGCUUUGGAGGUCCUGGCUGAGAUCUUGGGAGGCUGGGCAGGAACUCUCCGACCAUCUGGCGGCUGAGGCCCUUGCGCUGGAGGAGGAAAUGUGCCACGCCAAUGGGCGUGUCAGGGAUGAAGCCGCGCGAGAUCAGGAACUGGAUGCCCUUGUCCGGGUUUCUGGGCAGGAGUGUGAGUGGGGAGAAGUAGUAGUGAGCUAAGACCGCCUGGGACCUCUGACCACCAUGUCUUCCAGCCAUGAAACCCAUAAAAGAGCCCAGACGUCCUUGGAAACCGAGUUCCCAGGACUCCCACCAUGCAGGAGCCCUCAAGGAAGUACCUCUCACCUGAACCUCCUCACACAGAGAAAGGGCAGGGGGCCAGGAUGGGAAAGGAGGCCGGGUGCAGCCCAGGGGACCCAGAGCAGGGGAGGAGAAGUGCUCCCCUCUGCCCCUGCCUUGCUCUCCCCUAGUCUGCCAUGGAGGCCCUGGUGCCUGCCUGUGUCCUGAGGUCCAAGUCGGAUGCCCCCACCCUGGAGCCUGGAGAGAGGGUGGGGGCAAUGGACCCUCUUCCCUCUGCACGGAGGACACGAGGGUUCUGUGUCCAGUGUCUCCUUCUCAGCGCCAGCCUGAGUGUGAGGGCUGUGUCCUAAGACACCUGGACUUGUUCUGCAAACCCACGCUACUCCCCGAGCCGUAUCUUAUGGGGUCCAGAGAAGGAAGGAUGGUGUCCCACGCUGGACCAGCAGAGGCAUCUCAAAGCCCAGGAGACCUCAAGGACCCAGCCCUAUUCCUCAGGGACAAUCCCAGAAAUCAUGCUAGAAGACAGAGAACAUUGUAGCUGGGCUCAAUCUCUCUGCUGAGCUCUGGGAUGUACUCUGAGGCCUGGAUUGGAGAUUUGGCCUUGGCCUGGGCAGGAAUGUCCUCUGAAGGAAAGUGUAGAGGGCUGGUACCCUCCGUGCUCAGGUGGAAAUGGGAAGGAGCCUAGAGGUGCCCUGCUGCAGCCCUUUGACUCACAAAUGAGGAAAAUGGAGGCUCAGAGAAGUAAAGUGACUUGGAAAUGUAGCCAAUCCCUGCCCCUUGGAAAGGUGUCCCAUGAUGAGUCUAGACUUGAGGCUUGGGCAUGACAGACCUGUUGGGAAGGUGGCUGUUCUCCGGGAGAUUGGGGCCUCUGCUUAGGACCCUGAUUUGGGGAGCAAGGCCUAGAUGUCACUGAGCACAGCUGCAUGACCCCGGGCUUGGCCAGCAGAGAGGUCUGCAACUGGACAGCCAGGAUGGCCUGCUGAGCAAGACCGGCAGAGAAUUCGAUGCCAUCUCCUCUAGAUGGCUUUGGAAACCACACCCUUUACACCCUUUGUGCCCCUGCCACACCACUUCCCUCCAGGGCCUCCCAAAGGGCCCUGUGUGCUCUCUUUCUCCCCUCUAGGCUGUAGCCCCAAGGAUCACUGUGACGGGAAGUGGGGAGGGCACAGAGGACGGCAGAGUGGUGCAGGAGGACUUCAUCCUGCGCUGUCCUGGGCAGCAGGGAAGCUCCUUCAUUUGCCUGCUCAUCCGUGUGUGCUCAUGAGAGCCUUUCCCAAGCUCCAAGGGCUAAUGCAGGAGAACAAUGGCAGGCAAGGGCAGGGCAGGGCAGCAUCUGAUGCACAGAGCUGCAACUGUUCCCUCUGAAGCACCCUGGGGGUGUCCGGUGCAGUCUGCUCAGUCCUGCCACAGCCCUGGUACAACCCUGUCCUCAUGAGUGGGGCAACUACCAGAGAACACAGAGUAAGCUGCUAAGUCAAAGCACAUGCCCAGCCCAGGAGGUCCCUGAGCCUGAGCUGAGGCCUAAGCAUGGGUUGGGACCACCCCAGUGAGGUGGGACGGAGGUGGGCGGGGAAUGUUUCCCACAGAGGCAAUAAAACACAGGAGGGCCCAGAGGCAAAGGAUGGCUGGGGGUCUCAGGGGGUGGCAACAGGCAUGGCUGGGUCCCCAGUGUGGGGCUCUGGCAGGGGAACCUGGAGGAGCCUUUGCACUACACAGCAGGAGCCGUCCAAGGUUUCCACGCUGGCUCAGGGGAAGUAUGACUGGCGUGCCCUUUGCAGAGAUGACUCAGCAGCAGCUUUGCUGUGGGGUGGGGUUGGAGGAGGCCUAGCUGAAGCCAGUACGGGGUUUCCCCAGGGGAAGCAGGCAAGAGUCGAGGAUGGCCUGGCCGGGGGUAAAGGUGGUCAGCAUGGCAAGAGAGGGUGGGAUUGAGAAAACAGUCAAGAGGUAGCCUCCAUGGAGCUUGGCGAUGGGGAAGACGAUGGGAAAGAGAAGACCCAAAGGAAAUACUCUGGCCUGGCUGACAGAGGAGGCCCAGUGGGUGGGGAGGCUGAGAGAUAGCGUUUGUCCCGGCCCAUUCCAGGCCAAGGACGGGAGGAUCCCAGAGACUGGAAGGAUCACUGUGUCGGAAACCUAAACCCUAGGUCUCCGGGAGACCUGAUGACAGGCAGAUCCUGGUCUGGCUUUACACUCACCCCACCCCAUGUGUCUCUAAGUUAUUUCCCUCCCUUGGCAUCCUCUGGGCAUCUUGGUACCAGUGCCUGUGCUUGGCAGUGGGGAGACAGUGAUGUAUCAAUCACAUGCCCUGCCUUCGAGGAGCCAUGUCAGCAAGGAGUGCUGAUGCAAGGCUGAAGGGCUAUGACAGGGACCCCGGAUGUGUAAUGACAUCUUGGAGAAGGGGCAUCCACUGCGGCCUUGGCAGUCAGAGGACACUGCCAGAGAGGAGGAAGCUGCCAGAGAAAAGCCUUAAGGCUCGAAGCCCAAGGGCAAGAGUGCUGAAGAAAUCUCAGAGAUAGAGGCAAAGAAAAGAGAAUGCAAAGCCCCAAAGAAAUUUACCAGGUGGCUGAACCCUAGAGAAGUCAAGCAGCUUGCCCGGGGUCACACAGCUCAUUGGCAGAAAGAGAAUGAGUUCAGUCUCUCAGAAAUCCAUGCUACGUCUUCAAUAACUUUUCUUGCUCUAGCCCCUCAAUCCCUUUUUGCUCUCUUUCUCCCAUGGCCAGCCUAUGCCUGGUCUAGAAAGAUACACAAGUCAGGGGAGGUGAGCUAUUUCCUAGGGCUGGAUUCACUAGGCAAGAGCGCUGAAGUGAUCCUUUACCUAUUCUCACCUUCCUUGACCCAAUUCCACUAGCCUAGCAUGCAAAUCCAUUGGGAUCCUAUCUACUUUUAAAUAAAAGUCUGUAGAAUCACUCAGAAUUCUUUACAGCUCUCAGUAUCCCAUUCAGCCUGUCAGGAUUAAACUAUUUCUUUUGCCCAAGCCAAAGCACACUUUGGUGUUAUUGACUGGAUACACCUUUAAUGGAACUGCAGCCUCUCUGGGGGGAAGGGAGGGAGCAUUUUUUUUCUUCCUGGUUCCCUACUUCUUUGCUUUGCAUAUAAUAAUUACUUUUAAAAAAAAAUGAUACUCAAGCUAGGCAUCACAGUGCACCCCUUUAAUCUCAGCAACUUGGGAAGCUGCAGAAGGAGGACUGAAAGUUGGAGGCCAGCCUGGGCAACUUAGCAAGACCAUAUCUCAAGAUAAAAAAGUAAAAGGGGCCAGGCAUUUCACGUAGUUCUCCCUGGGUUCAAUCCCCAGAACAGAACAAACAACAGAACAGAACAAAACAAAACAAAAUGUCACUCAAAGAGCUCUUACGACGUCCAGAAUGCUCUCUACUAGAUGCUGGGGAAAGGGUACAAAAAUGAAUACAAGAGGGUCUCUGUCCUCAAGAGACUCGUGUGGAAUUGCGGGGACCUUGUCACCUCAGCCAACUGUCGGGUUCUUGGUGGACCAUCGUCUAAUAAUAAAGAACUCGCUGCCUCAAAGAGAGAUCAUUCUAUAUUGUCCAUUAUUAAAUAAGCUAAGAUUUUCCCCCUCUCACAGAUUUCAGUACCACUUUAUUCUCUAGUAUAAUAGAAAGUGUCUAUCUAAUUAUUAUGCCAGCCUUCUCAUGUUUAAAAUGUGUUUUCCUGUCUACAUUUUCUUCACAUGACCCCAGCCCAUUCUGUUUUCCUUUUGCAGAGACCUCAGAAUGCUCAUUUGCCCUCUUAAAGGCAGUGCCCAGAACCAAGCACAGGGACAGCCCUCCCUAACCAGUGACCAGUGCGGAACCCCUGGCUGGUGGCUCCAUUUGUCACCGUCCUACAAGGGCUGCUUAUAGACUCUCAUCACUGUUAGUGGAAGCCCAUGUCCUUUCUCCCAGGACAAAGCUGCCCAGCUCCUCAUACCAGUGCUGCAGGCUUUUCAAAGCUUGGAGCAGAACUUUAGAUUUCUCCCUAUUUCAUUUGACUUU